UCAUUUUGGCAGUGCAUAUACUAAAGUUGAAAUGAUACAGAGAAAAUUAGCAUGGCCCCUAUGCAAGGAUGACAGGCAAAUUCAUGAAGCAUUCCAUAUUUUU